rnacentral:rRNA from 1 species
AUGCGGAUCCAUCUGGCCACCAUAUCGUACGAUGCGUUACAGCGCCGCCGCAUCGCACCGGCUACCACACCGCGCCUCCGCCUCUCCCUCUUAUCUCCGCUCUUCCACCACAGGCAUCGCAUUUGCUCGUCGACGACGGGGACAACGUCGCUCGUCCCCAACCUGUCCCCAACUGGCCACCGUCCCAUCACCAACUGUGCUCAGAGUUUGCAGUCUAUCCAUCACCUGACGAAGGCGCAGAGUUUAGACUUGCCAGUGCUCCCGGCUUGGCCCGAACUCCCAAAGCAUCAGUCCAGCCGACCCCUGCAAGUGCAAUGGAUCGAAGCUGGAUACAAGGAACGCGUUUCACACCACCAUACAUGA